GGACCUCGUAGCGGCCGGUAUGACCGCCCCUGACCGAUCCGGCUAGAGCUACGGAUCAGAAGGUUGCAGGUUCGAAUCCUGCCGAGUGCA
rnacentral:tRNA from 1 species